rnacentral:rRNA from 1 species
GACGAACGCUGGCGGCGUGCUUAACACAUGCAAGUCGAACGGAAAGGCCCUGCUUUUGUGGGGUGCUCGAGUGGCGAAAGGGUGAGUAACACGUGAGUAACCUGCCCUUGACUUUGGGAUAACUUCAGGAAACUGGGGCUAAUACCGGAUAUGAGCUCCUUCUGCAUGGUUGGGGUUGGAAAGUUUCGGCGGUUGGGGAUGGACUCGCGGCUUAUCAGCUUGUUGGUGGGGUAGUGGCUUACCAAGGCUUUGACGGGUAGCCGGCCUGAGAGGGUGACCGGCCACAUUGGGACUGAGAUACGGCCCAGACUCAUACGGGAGGCAGCAGUGGGGAAUAUUGCACAAUGGGCGGAAGCCGGAUGCAGCAACGCCGCGUGCGAGAUGACGGCCUUCGGGUUGGAAACCGCUUUCGCCUGUGACGAAGCGUGAGUGACGGUAAUGGGUAAAGAAGCACCGGCUAACUACGUG